rnacentral:rRNA from 1 species
UGGGGAAUAUUGCACAAUGGGCGCAAGCCUGAUGCAGCCAUGCCGCGUGUGUGAAGAAGGCCUUCGGGUUGUAAAGCACUUUCAGCGAGGAGGAAGGUGGUGGACUUAAUACGUUCAUCAAUUGACGUUACUCGCAGAAGAAGCACCGGCUAACUCCGUGCCAGCAGCCGCGGUAAUACGGAGGGUGCAAGCGUUAAUCGGAAUUACUGGGCGUAAAGCGCACGCAGGCGGUUUGUUAAGUCAGAUGUGAAAUCCCCGGGCUCAACCUGGGAACUGCAUUUGAAACUGGCAAGCUAGAGUCUCGUAGAGGGGGGUAGAAUUCCAGGUGUGCGGUGAAAUGCGUAGAGAUCUGGAGGAAUACCGGUGGCGAAGGCGGCCCCCAUGGAC